rnacentral:misc_RNA from 1 species
UUUCCGUAGGUGAACCUGCGGAAGGAUCAUUACCUGGCCUUGGGCCGCUCGGGGGAGCCAGUCGCUCGCGACGACGCUGCCUUGGGCGCUUAGCCCUUGACUAUCACCUUGACUACGUGCACCUUUUGUUGUUUCCUCGGCAGGUCCUCUGCCGCCAGGAACCCCCCAAACCCCUUUGCAACAGCAUCCAAACUUCUGAAAACAAACCAAAUCAUUUACAACUUUUAACAAUGGAUCUCUUGGUUCUG